GGGUAAACUUGAAUUAUUUUCGUAUAGGCAAUCCCCACUAUUAAGCGCGUUUAGGAAAAAAAAAGAAUAAAAUAUUUUCAGAUAAUCUUAUAAGUAGCAUUAUUUUCUAUAGAAAUAGCGAUUUAAUAAAUGUGUUCCAAUGUGGAGUUAGUUUAAUAUCAGAAUAUGAAUCAUUCUCUUGAAGAAUUCCUUCGUCACAUUGUUCGAACGUAAUAAAAUUGUCAAGGUCAUCAUCUAUUUCCUUAAUAUUACAAUGAUUAUUUCUUCUAUUAGACCCUGACUGAUCUAAGCUAUUGGGGUCAACCCAAUUAGAACUUAUUAUAUUAUGUAUGUAAUCGCAUUCUCUUAACAUAUCAUUACAAUCUAAAAUUGUCAUGCUCCAUACUUCAUUUGAUGAUGUGCAUUUUAAUUCUAAAUUUCCUGAACCGUUA
rnacentral:antisense_RNA from 1 species